rnacentral:rRNA from 1 species
CAGUAGCCGCGGUAAUACGUAGGGUGCAAGCGUUAAUCGGAAUUACUGGGCGUAAAGCGUGCGCAGGCGGUUUUGUAAGACAGAGGUGAAAUCCCCGGGCUCAACCUGGGAACUGCCUUUGUGACUGCAAGGCUAGAGUACGGCAGAGGGGGAUGGAAUUCCGCGUGUAGCAGUGAAAUGCGUAGAUAUGCGGAGGAACACCGAUGGCGAAGGCAAUCCCCUGGGCCUGUACUGACGCUCAUGCACGAAAGCGUGGGGAGCAAACAGGAUUAGAGACCCCUGUAGUCCCUGUCUCUUAUAC